rnacentral:lncRNA from 1 species
UUGGCUAGCCCAUUCCUAGUAAUUGCAAGAGUGAAUUGGAGAAGGGAGGUGGUUGAGUUAAUCUUUGAAGCUUUUCCUGAAGAGAUGGGCUUUUGACCUGUGAUUUCAUUCUUUCCACAAGUGUUUGAGCAUCUCCUGUGUGCAUGACCCUUUGGUGAACAUAAAAAUUAAAAUCCUAGAUCACCAAAAUGUGUUUAAUGUGUAUAUAUGUGAAACAACUACAAGUUUGUGGUGCAAUACUGCUUACAAGAGAACUGGAAAUGCAAAAUAAAGAAGAGACCAUUGUGGGAUUAGAACAUUUUCCUUGGUCAGGUCAGUCAGAGCUGUCAGCAUGACCCCUCCCAGCCGGCUAGCAGUGCUUUAUUACCAGAAGCAGUCUCCAAAUGUGACCAACAGGGAAAGGGAUGGGAGGUGAAUACUGGUGGAGGACAGACUCGAGGGAUGAAACCUCUUCAGUCUCCAUAAACGUAGGGUAUUGAAGGGGCAGGAUGAGAGUCUGAUACCGUGAAGGGGCUAGGAACGAGAAACCGGUAUCUGAAUCCUAGACACUAGAGUGAGGGCCCAACGUAGGGCUUGAGUUAGGUAAGUGGAAAACAGUUCUACAACUCAAGUCCCAAAGAGGUGGGUCCAAGAAGGUUUGAUUGUCAUAACGGCAGAUUUAUGAAGGGGUUAUUAAAGAAAGCUGGAGGUGUUGGGAGGACUUUCUAAACUUUUGAGAUUAAUGUCAGGGAAGACAAGAAGCCAUCUCUAAUUCUGUCUCUUACUAGUAAGAGACUGAAUCUUUUGUCUGCCUGUAAAGAAAGCUCUUUUAUGAACUUAGGGGGUAAAUGGUGUUGGGUUGAAUGCUAUAUUUACUUGGUCUUCCCUAGGUAAAAGGGAGAGCAGAUUUAAUAACUGUAGGGUGGGGGUGAGGGGGGGAAAGGAGUAUAGAGAAAUGGGACACAAUAAGCCAGCCACGCCAUCAGGAGGUUUCCCAAUUGAGCCUGGACUUGGGUAAAAAAAAAAAAAGUGGACCAAUUAGCAUGUUACAAAGACCAAAGGUGACCAAAUUGAACAAUUUGGGGCCAUAAAUAUAGUUAGCCAGUGUACUAGCAUCCUCUUAAAGAGGAUUCUCAUCCUAGAGAACUUUAAAGAUUAGGUUAGAAAAGCUUAGAUACUGCAUAAUCUGUGAC